CAGUAGCCGCGGUAAUACGUAUGUCGCAAGCGUUAUCCGGAAUUAUUGGGCAUAAAGGGCAUCUAGGCGGCCAGACAAGUCUGGGGUGAAAACUUGCGGCUCAACCGCAAGCCUGCCCUGGAAACUGUUUGGCUAGAGUGCUGGAGAGGUGGACGGAACUGCACGAGUAGAGGUGAAAUUCGUAGAUAUGUGCAGGAAUGCCGAUGAUGAAGAUAGUUCACUGGACGGCAACUGACGCUGAAGUGCGAAAGCUAGGGGAGCGAACAGGAUUAGAUACCCCUGUAGUCCCUGUCUCUUAUAC
rnacentral:rRNA from 1 species